ensembl:lncRNA
GCCCUGCCCCCGUCUCCCGGCGCGGACCACCCUUCAGCCGCGCCGCCUCCCACCGCCCCUCUCCAGGCAGCCGCUCUCCCUGCCUGUUCGCUGGUGCCAGCUCCUGCGUGCCGGCUGCCGUACUCUGCUACCGGCCUUUCACAGCACUCACCAUAAGGGUGAUCGAGGGGGUUAGAUGAGCUCGCGCCUCUCGGGCACCGCGAGCAGCACUUGGCCAUCAGUGAGGCUUCGCUUCAGUCUGCUGUGCUGUCGCCGCCGUCAGCAGCAAGGCCACCACCAUCAAGAUCUGGGAGAAAAAAGGGGGACGUUGUGAACAUGCGUAUUGGAAACAGCCCCAGGUGGCCCCGAGGUGGAGGGAACGGAGUCCACGGAGGGACUGGACACGCCCCACGCUUCUCUGCAGAGCGUCAAGAGAGCUGGGAUCAUGGGACUCUGGAGCAGCCAGAGCAGUCUUGCUGCCAUGGUG